AGUGAACGCUGGCGGUAGGCCUAACACAUGCAAGUCGAACGGCAGCACAGUAAGAUCUUGCUCUUACGGGUGGCGAGUGGCGGACGGGUGAGGAAUACAUCGGAAUCUACUUUUUCGUGGGGGACAACGUAGGGAAACUUACGCUAAUACCGCAUACGAUCUACGGGAGAAAUUAGGGGAUCUUCGGACCUUGCGCGAUUGAAUUAGCCGAUGUCGGAUUAGCUAGUUGGGUGGGUAAAGGCCCACCAAGGCGACGAUCCGUAGCUGGCCUGAGAGGAUGAUCGGCCACACUGGAACUGAGACACGGUCCAGACUCCUACGGGAGGCAGCAGUGGGGAAUAUUGGACAAUGGGCGAAAGCCUGAUCCAGCAAUGCCGCGUGAGUGAAGAAGGCCUUCGGGUUGUAAAGCCCUUUUGUUGGGAAAGAAAAGCAGCAGGUUAAUACCCCGCUGUUCUGACGGUACCCAAAGAAUAAGCACCGGCUAACUUCGUG
rnacentral:rRNA from 1 species